rnacentral:rRNA from 1 species
UACGAAGGGGGCUAGCGUUGUUCGGAAUUACUGGGCGUAAAGGGCGCGUAGGCGGCCAUUCAAGUUAGGUGUGAAAGCCCUGGGCUCAACCUAGGAAUUGCACUUGAUACUGUUUGGCUUGAGUUCGGGAGAGGUGAGUGGAAUUCCCAGUGUAGAGGUGAAAUUCGUAGAUAUUGGGAAGAACACCGGUGGCGAAGGCGGCGACCUGGUCCUUGACUGACGCUGAGGCGCGAAAGCGUGGGGAGCAAACAGG